CAGUCGCGUUCUCUGGGAUUCAGCCUUGCUUCUUGCUUGGUGCAUUUCCUAGUCUACGGGCCAGCAUGAAUCUUGAGCGGUGGAAAAGGGUUUGGGGAAUGUGGCUGUCUUCGGGCAGUGUUAUAGACCCUUGUCGUAUGUCUCGGCUGGGACUGAGGACUGCAGCGCGCCUUAUGGCCGGGGUUCGCGCCCCUCGGUACGCGCUUAGGAUGCUGGCAUAAUGGCUUUAAGCGACCCGUCUUGAAACACGGACCAAGGAGUCUAGCAUAUAUGCGAGUGUU
rnacentral:rRNA from 1 species